GAGAAGUCCAUUGAACCUUAUCAUUUAGAGGAAGGAGAAGUCGUAACAAGGUUUCCGUAGGUGAACCUGCGGAAGGAUCAUUGUCGAGACCAAAAAAUAUCGAGCGAUUCGGAGAACCUGUGAANGAGCAGCGGCGCUCGCCGUCGCGUGAUGGCCGUCCCGGUCGUCGGCCCCGUCGGGGCCGCGGUGAGGGGCGGAUGAAACCAAAACCGGCGCAGCUACGCGCCAAGGGAAUAUANAUAUAUACACGGGCCUGCAUCGGGCUCGGUGGCGUGGGGCGCUGUCGCGCACCACACGGAUCAAAAUGACUCUCGGCAAUGGAUAUCUCGGCUCUCGCAUCGAUGAAGAGCGCAGCGAAAUGCGAUACGUGGUGCGAAUUGCAGAAUCCCGCGAACCAUCGAGAAUUUGAACGCAAGUUGCGCCCGAGGCCAGCCGGCCAAGGGCACGUCCGCCUGGGCGUCAAGCGUUGCGUCGCUCCGUGCCAGCUCCAUCCCACUCGACGGGUGUGCAUGCGGGAGGGUUUCGGAUGUGCAGAGUGGCUCGUCGUGCCCGNGGGCGCGGCGGGCUGAAGAGCGGGUGAUCGUCUCGUCGGCCACGNGCAGCAAGGGGUGGAUGAAAAUUGUGCCUGUGCUGCGUCGUGCCGGUUGGAGAAGAGAUNGUACCCUGCAAAUGAUCCCAGNCCGAGCGUCGAUCCACGUAUGGCGGCUUGGAAUGCGACCCCAGGAUGGG
rnacentral:sRNA from 1 species